rnacentral:rRNA from 1 species
CUGCUGCCUUCCGUAGGAGUUUGGACCGUGUCUCAGUUCCAAUGUGGGGGACCUUCCUCUCAGAACCCCUACGCAUCGUCGGCUUGGUGGGCCGUUGCCCCACCAACUACCUAAUGCGCCGCAUGCCCAUCCAUGACCGGGGUGCCCCCUUUGACCGGCAGGGGAUGUCCCCUCCCGGCACUAUGUUGUAUUAGGCGGGAUUUCUCCCGGUUAUCCAUCUGUCACGGCCAGGUUGCAUACGUGUUACUCACCCGUGCGCCGGUCGCCGG